UCUCCAUUCAUCUUCUUCUUCAAAAGGAAAACAAAAGAAUCCAGAGCGUGAAAGAGAUGACCCAUUCAGAGUAUGCCGAUGAUUUAUGAAACGAUUUCAUCUCGUUUCGUGAUUGAUCACCAUCCUCUGUUUUCUGUCAAUCGGGUCUACCCUAAUUUCACCGUUCUCAUGAGAUUAGUGAAGACGACGACCAGUUCAGUGGCAGCGAAGAAUAACUUGGCGAUGGAACAGAUCAUGUUCAGUGGACUUGGUAAUGACGACGAGUGCGAUAGUUUGAGUUUCAUCGAUGUCAUCAACUACAGAACAGAGCAGUGACGAAGAAUUUGGUAAUGGGCUUUUCCUGUGACGGCCCAAACGAGGUCCAAUCAGAGCUACACUAGGAUUUUGGAAUGGGCUUUGCUGUAUGAGGCCUUCUUUACAACCAAAUCCAAUAAG